rnacentral:rRNA from 1 species
GGCGGACGGGUGAGUAUUGNGGGAAACUGCCUGAUGGAGGGGGAUAACUACUGGAAACGGUAGCUAAUACCGCAUAACGUCGCAAGACCAAAGAGGGGGACCUUCGGGCCUCUUGCCAUCGGAUGUGCCCAGAUGGGAUUAGCUAGUAAGUGGGGUAACGGUCACCUAGGCGACGAUCCCUAGCUGGUCUGAGAGGAUGACCAGCAAACUGGAACUGAGACACGGUCCAGACUCCUACGGGAGGCAGCAGUGGGGAAUAUUGCACAAUGGGCGCAAGCCUGAUGCAGCCAUGCCGCGCGUAUGAGGAAGGCCUUCGGGUUGUCAAAGUCACUUUCACGCGGGGCAGGAAGGUGUNGUGGUUAAUAACCACAGCAAUUCGACGUUACCCGCAAAAAAGCACCGGCUAACUCCGUGCCAGCAUGCCGCGGUAAUCACGGAGGGUGCAAGCGUCAACUCGGAAUUCACUGGGCCGUACAACGCGCANCGCAGGCCGGGUCUGUCAACGCUCCGGACUCGUGAAACUCCCCCGGGCUCAACCUUGGGCAAACUCUGCAUUUCCGGAAACCUCGGGCCCAAGGGGCCUCACCAAAGUCCUCUGGG